rnacentral:rRNA from 1 species
CACGUAGGUGGCGAGCGUUGUCCGGAUUUACUGGGCGUAAAGGGAGCGUAGGCGGAUUUUUAAGUGAGAUGUGAAAUACUCGGGCUCAACUUGAGUGCUGCAUUUCAAACUGGAAGUCUAGAGUGCAGGAGAGGAGAAUGGAAUUCCUAGUGUAGCGGUGAAAUGCGUAGAGAUUAGGAAGAACACCAGUGGCGAAGGCGAUUCUCUGGACUGUAACUGACGCUGAGGCUCGAAAGCGUGGGGAGCAAACAGG